GGACCCGCACAAGUAGUGGAGCAUGUGGUUUAAUUCGAAGAUACGCGCAGAACCUUACCAACACUUGACAUGUUCGUCGCGACUCUAAGAGAUUUAGAGUUUUCGGUUCGGCCGGAACGAAACACAGGUGCUGCAUGGCUGUCGUCAGCUCGUGUCGUGAGAUGUUGGGUUAAGUCCCGCAACGAGCGCAACCCUCACUUUUAGUUGCCAUCAUUAAGUUGGGCACUCUGAAAGAACUGCCAGUGAUAAGCUGGAGGAAGGUGGGGAUGACGUCAAGUCCUCAUGGCCCUUACGUGUUGGGCUACACACGUGCUACAAUGCUACGGACAAAGGGCUGCAAGUUCGCGAGGACAAG
rnacentral:rRNA from 1 species